CCAACUCUCCAGUCCUGCGUGCGUUCAAAUAUAUCUCCUCUAAAAUUGCUACCACGUUUUAAGAGAGAUGGCGUGGUGCUGCCACUUUCUAAAAGAGAUUGAUAUCUGAAAGGGAUGAAUCUCUUCUUUUUCCAUUGCUCUCAACCUCCAUCUGCAGAAGGAGCUCAAGCUCCUCCUUACCGACCCUCCACCUCUUCAUUCAUGCACCACUUCGAAUUGAAUCACCCGCUUUCUCUCUCCGACUCGUCCCAUUUUGAUUCCCCUCAAUCUCAUUCCCAAUGGUAUCCAAUUCCAAUAUCCUCUUCAUUGGCGGCACCAGAAAGUUCAUCGUCGAGGCCAGUGCUAAAGCCGGCCACCCACCUACUUUCUGGUCUGAGAAACUACCCUUUCCAACCCGGCAAAGUCCAAAGUCCUCGAGAACUUCAAGGAUCUGGGCGACAAUUUUGUCCUGGAUGAUGGUACGAUCACGAGAGCUUGGUUUUGCUUGAUAAUGUUACUUUUCUGAAAAUACGAUCAAGGUUUUAUAGCGAUUUCACCAUGAGAAGCAAAUACUUCUUCAUUUUAUGCUUGCCACAGGGUUGACAAACAAGUUCACCAAUUUAACCUCAGUUUGUUUCUUAAAUUUCAUUUUUGUUAUUAACAACAUAACCUUAUUUUAGAUAUUCCCAUCUUUUAUGUAUGCAUUGUUCGUUUAAGGCAAAUUUAACAGAUGCUUUACUAGAGAUAUCAAAGUUUUACUAAAAUUAGCUUUUAUCUUUAAGACAAUAAUUUUGAUUCACGCAUAAUAAUUAGCAUACAAACAUGCAUCUCUUUGUGACAAAAUGUCAAUCUACAACAUCUUCUAUGCUUUUGGUAAGCAAUUACCUGAGAGUUGACAAUAUUAUUCUCAUUAGUUUUGUUUUGGGUUCGUUAUUAUUCUAUUAUAACAAAUGCGCUUUUGUUGUUUGUGGAUCGUGCGUUCAAUCAAUAUUUUGCAAAUUCUACAAUUGUAUACCUUCUCACUAAAGACAUUAAUCACGCUACAACUAAACGAUUCAAUGAUAUCAGGAAAAAU